GUAGGUGAACCUGCGGAAGGAUCAUUAUCACGUUAUCCACGUUAUCUACCAACCGCGAAUCUGUUUAUUAUCACCUCUGGGGUGAGAGAAGUUCGUGCAAGAAGACAACACAUAGAGCGUUUUCGGUGGUUUGAGUAGCUCUGUUGUAUUCUCGCCUCGGUUCGUCCGUACUCUCUUCCCUGGUUGUAACUUUCAAACUACCAUUUCUAUUUACCAUUUGAACAAUAUCUUGAACUUUUUGUCUGAUCUAUUUCUUACUCAUCGAAACAAAAAGCCUUUGGGUUUUUUCUUUUUGAGAGAAGAAAUUCAUUACGAAACAAAGAACAACUCUUAGCAACGGAUAUCUUGGUUCUC
rnacentral:misc_RNA from 1 species